CACUGGUCGAGUCGGCCUGCGCGGAAGAUGUAACGGGGCUAAACCAUGCACCGAAGCUGCGGCAGCGACGCUUAUGCGUUGUUGGGUAGGGGAGCGUUCUGUAAGCCUGUGAAGGUGUGCUGUGAGGCAUGCUGGAGGUAUCAGAAGUGCGAAUGCUGACAUAAGUAACGAUAAAGCGGGUGAAAAGCCCGCUCGCCGGAAGACCAAGGGUUCCUGUCCAACGUUAAUCGGGGCAGGGUGAGUCGACCCCUAAGG
rnacentral:rRNA from 1 species